rnacentral:rRNA from 1 species
AGUGAACGCUGGCGGUAGGCCUAACACAUGCAAGUCGAACGGCAGCACAGUAAGAGCUUGCUCUUACGGGUGGCGAGUGGCGGACGGGUGAGGAAUACAUCGGAAUCUACUUUUUCGUGGGGGAUAACGUAGGGAAACUUACGCUAAUACCGCAUACGACCUACGGGUGAAAGCAGGGGAUCUUCGGACCUUGCGCGAUUGAAUGAGCCGAUGUCGGAUUAGCUAGUUGGCGGGGUAAAGGCCCACCAAGGCGACGAUCCGUAGCCUGGCUGAGAGGAUGGACCAGCCACACGGGAAUGGAACCACGGCCCAGACCCCUAGGGAGGCAGCAGGUGGGAAAUAUUGGAAAAGGGGGGAAAGCCUGAUCAAGCCAGACCGGGGGGGUGAAGAAGGCCUCCGGGUUGGAAAGCCCUUUUGUUGGAAAGAAAAGCAGCAGGUUAAUACCCCGCUGUUCUGACGGUACCCAAAGAAUAAGCACCGGCUAACUUCGUG